CACCAGAAAUCUGCAAGGUUGAAGUUAUAAAAGAAAAGAUCGCUGCUAAAAUGAAUUUGAGCACUAUAGCAUGUUUUGUGCCACAUAUGAAAAGGUAUUGAAGAUUUACAGAAAAGCAAAGAAAGAGAACUGUCAAUGAGAGAGGAAAUCUAACUGGGCUGACAAAAAGGAGAGUGGUCGCUGCAUUGGCCAUCAUGCCUAAAGGGGUGCCCAAGGGCCCAGAGAUUGCUGACCUAUUCUACAAAGAUGACCCCGAAGAACUUUUUAUUGGUUUACAUGAAAUUGGACAUGGAAGCUUUGGAGCCGUUUAUUUUGCCACAAAUGCUCAUACCAACGAGGUGGUGGCCAUUAAGAAAAUGUCCUACAGUGGCAAGCAGAUGCAUGAGAAAUGGCAGGAUAUUCUUAAGGAAGUAAAAUUUCUACGACAACUGAAGCAUCCGAACACCAUAGAAUAUAAAGGCUGUUACCUGAAAGAGCACACUGCCUGGUUGGUGAUGGAAUAUUGCUUAGGCUCAGCGUCAGAUCUGUUAGAAGUUCAUAAGAAACCACUGCAGGAAGUGGAGAUCGCUGCCAUUACCCAGGGUGCUUUGCAGGGGUUGGCCUACCUGCAUUCUCAUGCUCUGAUUCAUAGGGAUAUUAAAGCAGGCAAUAUUCUUCUAACAGAGUCCGGUCAGGUGAAACUGGCCGAUUUUGGAUCUGCCUCCAUGGCCUCUCCCGCCAACUCCUUUGUGGGCACACCUUACUGGAUGGCACCGGAGGUGAUCUUAGCAAUGGAUGAAGGACAGUAUGAUGGGAAAGUUGAUGUUUGGUCCCUUGGGAUCACCUGCAUUGAAUUAGCGGAACAGAAGCCCCCCCUUUUCAACAUGAAUGCAAUGAGUGCAUUAUACCACAUUGCCCAGAAUGACUCCCCAACGUUACAGUCUGAUGAAUGGACAGACUCCUUCAGAAGGUUCGUUGAUUACUGCUUACAGAAAAUACCUCAGGAAAGACCAACGUCAGUGGAACUAUUACGGCAUGAGUUUGUCCGACGAGACCAGCCACUACGAGUCCUCAUUGACCUCAUACAGAGGACGAAAGAUGCUGUCUGUGAUCUUAAUAACCUGCAGUACCGAAAAAUGAAAAAGAUCCUUUUCCAAGAGACACGGAAUGGACCCCUGAAUGAAUCCCAAGAAGAUGAAGAAGACAGGGAAACGGACAGCCUGGGCAGCAACCAUUCCAUCCCAAGCAUGUCUGUGAGCACGGGCAGCCAGAGCAGCAGUGUCAACAGCAUGCAGGAGGUCAUGGACGACAGCAGCUCCGAGCUGGUCAUGAUGCAGGAGGACGGAAGCACAAUAAACUCCAGCUCCUCCAUCGUGCACAAGAGGAAGGAUCAUGUAUUCAUAAGGGAUGAGGCGGGCCACAGCGAUCCCAGGCCUGAGCCGCGGCCUACCCACUCAGUCCAGAGCCAGGCCCUCCACUACCGGAACAGGGAGCGCUUUGCCACGAUCAAAUCAGCAUCUUUGGUUACACGGCAGAUCCACGAGCAUGAGCAGGAGAACGAGUUGCGAGAACAGAUGUCAGGUUAUAAGCUGAUGCGGCGCCAGCACCAGAAGCAGCUGAUCGCCCUGGAGAACAAGCUGAAGGCUGAGAUGGACGAGCACCGCCUCAAGCUCCAGAAGGAGGUGGAGACGCAUGCCAACAACUCGUCCAUCGAGCUGGAGAAGCUGGCCAAGAAACAAGUGGCUAUCAUAGAAAAAGAGGCAAAGGUAGCUGCAACAGAUGAGAAGUUCCAGCAACAGAUCUUGGCCCAGCAGAAGAAGGACUUGGCAACUUUCUUAGAGAGUCAGAAGAAGCAGUAUAAGAUUUGUAAGGAAAAGAUAAAGGAGGAAAUGAAUGAGGAUCAUAGCACACCCAAGAAGGAGAAGCAGGAGCGGAUAUCCAAGCAUAAAAAGAACUUGCAGCACACACAGGCCGAAGAGGAAGCCCACCUCCUGACUCAGCAGAGACUGUACAACGACAAAAACUGUCGUUUCUUCAAGCGGAAAAUAAUGAUCAAGCGGCACGAGGUGGAGCAGCAAAACAUUCGGGAGGAACUAAAUAGAAAGAGGACACAGAAGGAGAUGGAGCACGCCAUGCUGAUCCGGCACGACGAGUCCACCCGAGAGCUGGAAUACCGGCAGCUGCACACGUUACAGAAGCUUCGCAUGGACCUGAUCCGUCUUCAGCACCAGACCGAACUGGAGAACCAGUUCGAAUACAACAAGCGGCAAGAAAGGGAACUGCACAGAAAGCAUGUCAUGGAACUCCGGCAACAGCCAAAAAACUUAAAGGCCAUGGAAAUGCAAAUAAAAAACAGUUUCAGGACACUUGCAAAGUACAGACCAAGCAGUAUAAAGCACUCAAGAAUCACCAGUUGGAAGUUACUCCAAAGAAUGAGCACAAAACACUCUUAAAGACUUUGAAAGACGAGCAGACGAGAAAACUUGCAAUUUUGGCAGAGCAGUAUGAACAGAAUAUAAAUGAAAUGACGGUCUCUCAAGCGUUAUGGCUCAACGAGGCUGAAGAAGCAGAAUGCCAGGCCUUGAGGCUACAGCUCCAGCAGGAAAUGGAGCUGCUCAACGCCUACCAGAGCAAAAUCAAGAUGCAAACCGAGGCACAACACGAGCGCGAGCUCCAGAAGCUGGAGCAGAGGGUGUCUCUGCGCAGAGCACACUUGGAGCAGAAGAUUGAAGAAGAGCUGGCGGCCCUUCAGAAAGAACGCAGCGAGAGAAUCAAGUACCUGUUAGAAAGGCAGGAGAGAGAGAUCGAGACUUUUGACAUGGAGAGUCUCAGAAUGGGAUUUGGGAAUUUGGUUACAUUAGAUUUUCCUAAGGAGGACUAUAGAUGAGAUUAAAUUUUUUUGCCAUUUACAAAAAAAAAAAAAAGAAAACCGAAAAAAGUUCAGACCCUGCGAAACCACAUUCCCCAUUUAAACGGGCGUAGCUCGCGCGCUCGCUCUCUCUCUUUCUCUCUCUCUCUCUCUUACUGACAUUGUGUCGGACUAGUGCCUGUUUAUUCUUACUCCAUCAGGGACCCCCUUCCUCCCCCCAAAGUCAACUUCCAGUGCUGGCCGGAGCCUGGCCGUCUCUUCCAAUCACGCUCCACGUCCCAAUAUCGAUGUGAUCCAAAAAUGUUUCCAUGAAGAGCUGUGGAGACUGUUUUGAAAACCAACCAACCAACCAAUAAACGAACAACAACAACAACAAAGUGGAUGGAUAUUGCUUUAAGCAAUCACUCAUUACCACCAAUCUGUGAAAGUCAAGCAAAAAAGAAAAAGAUACAUUAAUAAAACAAAUCAAUAAUAAAAUACCAAGGGGAAGAGACACACAAUAUCCGCAGCCUUACACCUAAACCAGCUACUGCAUUAUUUUAUUUUAUUAUUUUUGGUAUUUAUUCAUCAGGAAUAAUGAUUAAAAAAUAAAAAAACAAAAGUUUUAUUAAAGAUUGAAAAUUUGAUACAUUUUACAGAAACUUAAUUGUAAUGUACAUACCAGUGGUGACAUAUUAUUACUUUUUGGGGGCUGGGGUGGGGUGGGCGGGGUGAACAGAUCUUGUGAUUUUUAAGAACCUGCUGGCAAGAAUUUCCUUGUCUCCGGCAUACUCUGUAUCAUAAUCAUUUUCUGCCGUUGCAGAGGAUGUGAAUACAUUUAAGGAACUCACAGAAUCUCAGUAGCACAAAUUGGGCUUUGGCAAAUCAUG